AUUGAACGCUGGCGGCAUGCUUUACACAUGCAAGUCGAACGGUAACAGGCCGCAAGGUGCUGACGAGUGGCGAACGGGUGAGUAAUGCAUCGGAACGUGCCCAGUCGUGGGGGAUAACUGCUCGAAAGAGCAGCUAAUACCGCAUACGAUCUAUGGAUGAAAGCGGGGGACCGUAAGGCCUCGCGCGAUUGGAACGGCCGAUGUCAGAUUAGGUAGUUGGUGGGGUAAAGGCUCACCAAGCCAACGAUCUGUAGCUGGUCUGAGAGGACGACCAGCCACACUGGGACUGAGACACGGCCCAGACUCCUACGGGAGGCAGCAGUGGGGAAUUUUGGACAAUGGGGGCAACCCUGAUCCAGCAAUGCCGCGUGCAGGAAGAAGGCCUUCGGGUUGUAAACUGCUUUUGUACGGAACGAAACGGUCUGGGUUAAUACCCUGGGCUAAUGACGGUACCGUAGGAAUAAGCACCGGCUAACUACGUGCCAGCCGCCGCGGUAACAC
rnacentral:rRNA from 1 species